rnacentral:rRNA from 1 species
AGUGAACGCUGGCGGUAGGCCUAACACAUGCAGGUCGAACGGCAGCACAGUAAGAGCUUGCUCUUACGGGUGGCGAGUGGCGGACGGGUGAGGAAUACAUCGGAAUCUACUUUUUCGUGGGGGAUAACGUAGGGAAACUUACGCUAAUACCGCAUACGACCUACGGGUGAAAGCAGGGGAUCUUCGGACCUUGCGCGAUUGAAUGAGCCGAUGUCGGAUUAGCUAGUUGGCGGGGUAAAGGCCCACCAAGGCGACGAUCCGUAGCUGGUCUGAGAGGAUGAUCAGCCACACUGGAACUGAGACACGGUCCAGACUCCUACGGGAGGCAGCAGUGGGGAAUAUUGGACAAUGGGCGCAAGCCUGAUCCAGCCAUACCGCGUGGGUGAAGAAGGCCUUCGGGUUGUAAAGCCCUUUUGUUGGGAAAGGAAAGCAGCAGGUUAAUACCCCGCUGUUCUGACGGUACCCAAAGAAUAAGCACCGGCUAACUUCGUG